AGAGUUUGAUCCUGGCUCAGGACGAACUCUGGCGGCGUGCCUAACACAUGCAAGUCGAACGGGGUUAAGACUUCGGUUUUAACUUAGUGGCGAACGGGUGAGUAACGCGUGAGGAACCUGCCUUUCAGUGGGGGACAACAGUUGGAAACGACUGCUAAUACCGCAUAAGCGCACGGAACCGCAUGGUUCUGUGUGAAAAACUCCGGUGGUAUAUGAUGGACCCGCGUCUGAUUAGCUAGUUGGUGAGGUAACGGCUCACCAAGGCGACGAUCAGUAGCCGGUCUGAGAGGAUGAACGGCCACAUUGGGACUGAGAUACGGCCCAGACUCCUACGGGAGGCAGCAGUGGGGAAUAUUGGGCAAUGGGGGAAACCCUGACCCAGCAACGCCGCGUGAAGGAAGAAGGCCUUCGGGUUGUAAACUUCUUUUACCAGGGACGAAGAACGUGACGGUACCUGGAGAAAAAGCAACGGCUAACUACGUGCCAGCAGCCGCGGUAAUACGUAGGUUGCAAGCGUUGUCCGGAUUUACUGGGUGUAAAGGGCGUGUAGGCGGAGAUGCAAGUUGGGAGUGAAAUCCCGGGGCUCAACCCCGGAACUGCUUUCAAAACUGCAUCCCUUGAGUAUCGGAGAGGCAAGCGGAAUUCCUAGUGUAGCGGUGAAAUGCAUAGAUAUUAGGAGGAACACCAGUGGCGAAGGCGGCUUGCUGGACGACAACUGACGCUGAGGCGCGAAAGCGUGGGGAGCAAACAGGAUUAGAUACCCUGGUAGUCCACGCUGUAAACGAUGAAUACUAGGUGUGGGAGGACUGACCCCUUUCCGUGCCGCAGUUAACACAAUAAGUAUUCCACCUGGGGAGUACGACCGCAAGGUUGAAACUCAAAGGAAUUGACGGGGGCCCGCACAAGCAGUGGAUUAUGUGGUUUAAUUCGACGCAACGCGAAGAACCUUACCAGGGUUUGACAUCCAACUAACGAAGUAGAGAUACAUUAGGUGCCCUUCGGGGAAAGUUGAGACAGGUGGUGCAUGGUUGUCGUCAGCUCGUGUCGUGAGAUGUUGGGUUAAGUCCCGCAACGAGCGCAACCCCUAUUGUUAGUUGCUACGCAAGAGCACUCUAGCGAGACUGCCGUUGACAAAACGGAGGAAGGCGGGGACGACGUCAAAUCAUCAUGCCCCUUAUAUCCUGGGCUACACACGUAAUACAAUGGUGGUAAACAGAGGGAAGCAAUACUGCGAAGUGGAGCAAAUCCCUAAAAGCCAUCUCAGUUCGGAUUGCAGGCUGCAACUCGCCUGCAUGAAGCUGGAAUUGCUAGUAAUCGCGGAUCAGCAUGCCGCGGUGAAUACGUUCCCGGGCCUUGCACAAACGGCCCGUCA
rnacentral:rRNA from 1 species